rnacentral:rRNA from 1 species
AUGGAUCUGUGGCGUCGUCUCACCAACAGCAACAGGGAAGCUCCCAGACAAGCGGACACGUCGUCGAGAUGCGUCGCAGAGAGCGCGUCCGUGUCGCACGACUUCGUGCUGGUAAACUACUCUCAGAUCAGGGACCUCCCCGUGAACGAGGCCGUGACCUCCGGUCACUUCACCGUCGGCGGCCACGAUUGGUUUAUCAGCUUCUACCCUGGUGGGUGGUCGACCACGAGGUAUAGUCAAGGUGAAAAGGAGGGCCCGGGCUACGCAGCGGCGUCUGUAUGUCUCCGUCGUCAAGCAACGACAGUCGUGAUUGUGAAGGCAAGGAUCACCAUAGGACUCGUGGACCGCCACGGGACGAUGGCAAACACGAGGACGUCGGACGCAGACCACUUCUACGCCUCGGAAAUUAGCCCGACGUUUCCAGGAUUUGUGUGCAGAUCCAAGCUUACAUCGCGGCGGUACCUCGUCGACGACUGCCUCACAAUCAGGUGCGUCCUCACCGUCAUCAAGCCUCGCACGGAAGGCACCACGGCCGCCCCGGCAGCAGCCGCUCCGCUGCCGGACAUGCUCAGGCACCUCCAGCGCAUGCUCGAAGACGGAAAGGGAGCCGACGUGACCAUCAACGUCGGCGGCCGGGCGUUCCGCGCGCACCGGUGCGUGCUUGCCGCGCGGUCGCCGGUCUUCGACGCGGAGCUCUUCGGCCCGAUGAAGCGCAAGGACGCGGAGCGCGUCGAGGUACACGACAUGGAGCCGGCGGUCUUCGAGCUGCUCCUGCGCUUCAUCUACACGGACUCGCUGCCGGGCGACGGCGAGGGCUGCGGCGUCGCGGUGACGCAGCACCUGCUGGUCGCCGCGGAUCGGUACGGGGUGGACAAGCUCAAGCAGGCGUGCGACAUGAAGCUGUGCAGAAGCUUGGACGUGCAGAACGUGGCGACGACGUUGGCGCUGGCAGAGCAGCACCAGUGCCCGCUGCUCAGAGAUGCGUGCUUGAAAUUUAUGUCGUCGUCCCCGAAUGUGCUGGCAGACGUCUUGAAGACCGACGGAUUCAGACAUCUCACCGCCAGCAUCACCCUCGCAAAUCUGACUGACAUCCAAGCGAAGGCGUCACUCGAGCAGUAUAUAAGUACUUUUCACACUGGAUCUAAUGACACUGCUUUGAGCAAGGACACGGAGCGCAUGGAGGUACACGACAUGGACCCGGCAGUCUUCGAGCUGCUCCUGCACUUCAUCUACACUGAUUCGCUGCCGGGGGACGGGGAGGGCUGUGGCGUAGCGGUGACGCAGCACCUGCUGGUGGCCGCGGAUAGGUACGCGGUUGACAAGCUGAAGGAGGCGUGCGACGUGAAGCUGCGCAGAAGCUUGGACGUGCGGACCGUGGCCACCACGUUGGCGCUGGCGGAGCAGCACCAUUGCCCGCUGCUCAGGGAUGCGUGCGUGACGUUUAUGUCGUCGUCCCGUAAAGUGCUGGCCGACGUCUUGGCGACGAACGGGUUCAGACAUCUCACGGCGAGCAUCCCACUAGAAAAUCUCACCGAGAGUCUCCCCUAG